rnacentral:rRNA from 2 species
AAUCCAUAGGUUAAUGAGGCGAACCGGGGGAACUGAAACAUCUAAGUACCCCGAGGAAAAGAAAUCAACCGAGAUUCCCCCAGUAGCGGCGAGCGAACGGGGAGGAGCCCAGAGCCUGAAUCAGCAUGUGUGUUAGUGGAAGCGUCUGGAAAGGCGCGCGAUACAGGGUGACAGCCCCGUACACAAAAGCGCAUGUGCUGUGAGCUCGAUGAGUAGGGCGGGACACGUGGUAUCCUGUCUGAAUAUGGGGGGACCAUCCUCCAAGGCUAAAUACUCCUGACUGACCGAUAGUGAACCAGUACCGUGAGGGAAAGGCGAAAAGAACCCCGGCGAGGGGAGUGAAAAAGAACCUGAAACCGUGUACGUACAAGCAGUGGGAGCCCCACCACCAAAGCAUUCUCUGGUGUUGAAGGCCCUGCAAAGCAG